UAGGGAAUCUUCCGCAAUGGACGAAAGUCUGACGGAGCAACGCCGCGUGAGUGAAGAAGGAUUUCGGUUCGUAAAACUCUGUUGUUAGGGAAGAAAAAAUGUAUAGUAACUAUAUACAAAAGAGACGGUACCUAACCAGAAAGCCACGGCUAACUACGUGCCAGCAGCCGCGGUAAUACGUAGGUGGCAAGCGUUGUCCGGAAUUAUUGGGCGUAAAGCGCGCGCAGGUGGUUUAGAAAGUCUGAUGUGAAAGCCACGGCUCAACCGUUGAGGGUCAUUGGAAACUAAUAAACUUGAGUGCAGGAGAGAAAAGUGGAAUUCCUAGUGUAGCGGUGAAAUGCGUAGAGAUUAGGAGGAACACCGGUGGCGAAAGCGGCUUUUUGGCCUGCAACUGACACUGAGGCGCGAAAGCGUGGGGAGCAAACAGG
rnacentral:rRNA from 1 species